rnacentral:rRNA from 1 species
GGCUACCUACGGGGGGCAGCAGUGGGGGAUAUUGGACAAUGGGGGGAACCCUGCUCCAGCGCCGCCGCGUGAGUGAAGAAGUAUCUCGGUAUGUAAAGCUCUAUCAGCGGGGAAGAAAGAAAUGACGGUACCUGAGUAAGAAGCCCCGGCUAACUACGUGCCAGCCGCCGCGGUAAUACGUAGGGGGCAAGCGUUAUCCGGAAUUACUGGGUGUAAAGGGAGCGUAGACGGUGAAGUAAGUCUGGAGUGAAAGGCGGGGGCCCAACCCCC